rnacentral:miRNA from 2 species
CAGGCCGUACUGUGCUGCGGCA